CUUCUAUAUUAGUCACUACCUCGCGGGUUCCUCUUUCUCCUCGUUGCAUCGUCUUGUGGUGUGGAAGGUUCCUGGUAGAACUUAAACCGCAAUUAAGUGAAACAAUGUUUAACCUUUGUUUUUCAAAAUAUCACGUAGUCCAUGAAGGCUCGUAUGCAGGCUUGGGACCAGUAGUAUGGGCGCCGUGUAGGUGCUCGAUGGCAAUGGCGGGGUCCGUGGGGAAACUGCAUCCAAUAAAGGCUUCCAGAAGAGAGCAUGUGGUUACGAAACCCAAUUAAACGGCUAGACCUCCUAGACGCUGAUGACUGACAAUGCAGCCGCGCAGACGACUACGCUUGUUGUUUAGGGAAGGAGAAGCAGAUCACAUAUUCACCACCUCAAGACUUGGAUGUCUUACUCUACAUUCCUGGGACUGCUCCAUGGGUCAAACUGGAGGUGUAGCACCGCCCAGGGCUACCAUAACCUACAGAAUAGUUAUACAUUCCUGGGACUGCUCCAUGGGUCAAACUGGAGGUGUAGCAGCACCCAGCUGGAUGACCACCACAGCCUAGUUCUACAUUGACUCUGAGCUAAAGUUGAAGAGGUAGCACAACCUCAAGACUGCAGUUGGUGAUGGUGUAAUUUGACAACACUUGUAACGGGAAGGAGAAGCAGAUCUCAUAUUCACCAGCACCUCAAGACUUGUGGUCUUGCUCUACCUUCUCAAGGACCGCCGCAUGAGUUGAACCGGGUCCAGGACUUCUGCUGGCUGUAGUUUAGAUCCGUGCUGAUGGGACUCCGACGACUACGCUGGUUGUACAGGGAAGGAGAAGCAGAUCCCAUAAUCGCCACCUCAAGACUUGAUAUAUUACUAUACCUCAGAUUUGCCAUGGACUGCAUCAUGGGUCAAACUGGAGUUGUAGCAGCAACCAGCUGGGUGGCCAUCAUGGCCCGAAGCCUAGUUCUAGAUAGCUGCAUGAUGUUUAACUGGGAGCAGGACGUCUAGUGGCUGUAGUUUGGCCCUGUGCGGUUUGACUCCGCAGGCUACACGUGUUGUACCUGGAAGGAGAAGCAGAUCCCAUAUUCGCCAACACCUCAAUACUUGACGUCUGACUACUGGCUGUAGUUUGGAUCAGUGCUGUUUGACUCUGCCUUGCAGACAUGCGCUUGUACUGGGAAGGAGAGGCAGAACUCAUAUUCACCACCACCUCAAGACUGGUGUUGGCUUACUAUAAUUAAACGCUGGGGGAGAACCAAGCAACACUUGGUUAUGGCAGUGUGGAAGAGCUCCAAGAUGGGCUGUUUGAAAGAAUUCACUGAGCAUGAUAAAGGGAACUGACAUACUGUCAUCCCCUAUUAAUGAAUGUACACUGACUGUACACAUUAUGGGCGUACAAGACCACUAGACUUUUCAGGGGCUGAAAUACAACACUUCUAAUGUACAAAUGAAUGUCGUGCCAAUAAAAAAUAAACAUAAGCUUGUGCUGUUA
ensembl:lncRNA